CGUAGUGACUGCGGAGGAUCAUUAAAAAUAACAAUAAGCUAACUCGGCUGGUGGGCCUCCCCUAAGGUCGGGGAGUCCCCGCCCAUGAGCGCUUUAACGGGUGUGUUGCGGCCACUAGAGUGUUGGCCGUCUCGCCGGGUCUCGGAAAGCACGGGGAGAAUCCGCGUGCUUACGUGGGGUGUGCCGAAUACGGACCCGGGAUGGCGUGCCGGCAAGUGCCCUUCGGGAGGCACAAGCUCUUGUGAAGAUGGGCAUUCGCCCUUUACGCAGCACAUGACUGAAUCCUUAUUCUACUCGUACCUCUUGUUCUCCUUCGGUGGGGCAACCUGCCGUUGGAACCUUUAUACAACCCUUUUUUUUGCAUCUAGCAUUACCUGUUCUGAUACAAAUAAUCGUUACAACUUUCAACAAUGGAUCUCUUGGCUCUGGCAUCGAUGAAGAACGCAGCGAAAUGCGAUAAGUAGUGUGAAUUGCAGAAUUCAGUGAAUCAUCGAAUCUUUGAACGCACAUUGCGCCCCUUGGUAUUCCAUGGGGCAUGCCUGUUCGAGCGUCAUCUACACCCUCAAGCUCUGCUUGGUGUUGGGCGUCUGUCCCGCCUCGGCGCGCGGACUCGCCCCAAAUCCAUUGGCAGCGGUCUCCGCCUCCUCUCGCGCAGCACAUUGCGCUUCUCGAGGUGCUGCGGCCCGCGUCCAGUAAGCAAUUUACCGUCUUUGACCUCGGAUCAG
rnacentral:rRNA from 1 species